rnacentral:rRNA from 1 species
GGGGGGAACCCUGAUCCAGCCAUGCCGCGUGUGUGAAGAAGGCCUUUUGGUUGUAAAGCACUUUAAGUGGGGAGGAGGCUUACCUGGUUAAUACCUGGGCUAAGUGGACGUUACCCACAGAAUAAGCACCGGCUAACUCUGUGCCAGCAGCCGCGGUAAUACAGAGGGUGCGAGCGUUAAUCGGAUUUACUGGGCGUAAAGCGCGCGUAGGUGGUUAAUUAAGUCAAAUGUGAAAUCCCCGAGCUUAACUUGGGAAUUGCAUUCGAUACUGGUUAGCUAGAGUAUGGGAGAGGAUGGUAGAAUUCCAGGUGUAGCGGUGAAAUGCGUAGAGAUCUGGAGGAAUACCGAUGGCGAAGGCAGCCAUCUGGCCUAAUACUGACACUGAGGUGCGAAAGCAUGGGGAGCAAACAGGAUUAGAUACCCUGGUAGUCCAUGCCGUAAACGAUGUCUACUAGCCGUUGGGGGAUUUGAUCCUUUAGUGGCGCAGCUAACGCGAUAAGUAGACCGCCUGGGGAGUAC